UUCCCUUAUGCUGGCUGGAAAGAAAAUCUUAUCUUGGAUUUGAAUAAAUACAGUAAUUUUUAAAGGCUCACGUCUGCUACUUUUAUUCCAGUGUAAUACCUCAGUCAGCAAGUAAUCUCAUUGCAAGCAACAGGGACCAUUCACUGAGCACCAGAACUGUUUCUGAUUCCACUCACUGUUCUGGUAUCUCCUUGUGUUUCCUCCUCUCAAUGCUUUAUCUUCAGGUUGUUUCUCUGUUUAUCUUAGAGUGUGAGCUCUUCAGUGCAUUGAACCAUCUUUCAGCAUCUUUUACAGUGCUAAUUGGAAUGGGACCCUAAUAUCUAUGUACUAAAUAUAGGUAGGGGUAGGUAUUUGGGAUUCUCAGCCAUUUGUACUUGUCUCUAUUUUGGAUUUGUGUCACAGACUGAAAACUUUUAAAAUAUGGGUAAAAUUUAACCCCAAUUCUGCAAUGAAUUGCAUGCAUUUGCAAAGCAGCAAAGAUAUGGGGAUAUAAGAAACUCCCCAGGAAGUUCACUUUCUUAAUUCCUUCUUUGUUUGGAGGCCACAGUGCUUCUUGUGCCAAAAGUCUAGCAGUUUUGUGAUAUUUCACAUCACUCAUGAGAACCUGAGCUGUUUACAGUCUCCCAAAUAAAUUAAUUCUUCGUCCCUGAGAUCAAAGCUAAUAUCUCAUUGUGACCGAAGGAAAGAGCACAGCCAUUGACCCAGCCAGUGUAUUCCUUGUUUUCCUGCAUUAACCAUUUUAUCCAAGUCUCAGGGAAGGAUUAUGCAACAGGUGGUAGCCAUACGAUACUUCCCUUGAGUAUGAUAGGCUUGAAGCCUUUUUUUUUUUUUUUUCCGAUUCACACUUUCCUUGUAAUUUUUAUAUUACCCAAAACGUUCUUUUCAAUUGACCAGAGAGAUGUUUUUCUAUUUGUUUUCAUGCUGAAAAGAAAAAGUUUAGUUGAAUGAAAAGUGCUUAGUUUUCAAGAUUCUUUUACCAUUGUUUUAUAUCAUUGUUAAAUGUAGGUAAUUGUAUCUCUGGCCCCGUUUUACAACAGGGUCAAAUUAUGCCCCUUUGUUUCACAUGCAGAGUAGUCCUCUUUGUGCCAGUCUCUCCUUUGUACCUCUCCUCUGUGGCAUCAUGCUCUCUGUGAGGUCUGAGACCCAUGUUGAGUGAGGGAAUUGAAUAUGUGAGGACCAGGGAAGGCAUGAGUAGCCUGUAGUGUGACUCUGGGGACACAUAGAGACCCAUGAGCUUUAAUUAUAAAAGGUAAUACAUAUUCAGGCUGUAUCACAUUGUUCUCUUUACCAUGUCUACUUCCUCCACAGCAACCAUACUGCUCGGGGGGGAGACCCUGCCAGUCUCUCCCUUCAUUGGAGCAAUCCUUCCAGGUAAGCCAGGAGGAAGCUGGACUGUGUGUGACCGUGCAGGUGAUCCCAGACUCUUGUGUGCCCUGGCAUCUGCCAAAUUUAGAUUUAUUUUUUUACAAAUAUCCUCUCUCCAGCCUUACUCCCCAAAUCAUUACUAGUUAUUGUGAGGGGAUCUCAGAAAAUAGACUCCCCCCCAGUCCAUUUUUCAUCCCUGAGCUCCCUCAUUGUGCCUUCACAGGCUUUUUCCCCCUUUAAUCGAUGACUUUCUCAAAAAGGUUGCUUGUUGCCAAAGCUUCAGGGUUUCUGGGCCCUGCUAGCUAGUAGGGAGUUAAUUCUCUAGCUGCUCCUCAGACAGGUGCACAGGACAACUAAUUGGGCCUGGAGCCCUGGGCUGGGCCUGGUCAGACGCUCAGGUGCGAUGCGCAGGAAAUUACCCAGACAGCCAAGCUAGGGCUGAGGGAGGCAGGGAAGCUGGCAGCACUUCUGUGGGCUGCCUCUGUUCGGCUUUCUCUUAUAGGUACUGCACUCUGCAAACCUUUUGCUGAACCCUGAGGAGAUCCCCACCCCCUUCCGACAGAUUUCCUUCAGUCUCCUCACCCCCCACCAGCUUCUGGGCCUCUCUGAAAGAGCCAUUGCCGAACAUGUAGACUUCUGGGCAUAGAUGUUGAGUUGUACAGCUGAAAACUCCCAUUUUCCGUUGGAAUCGGAUUCUGCAGAAGUUGCAUAAGAAAGAACCACUUUAAUUCUGGUCACCUGGAAUUGGUCUUGGUCCCAUCAAGAAGGGAAGCCAAGGAGUGGUAGAACAUACAGCCUAGAGAGACUACAGUGACUGUCAAGCUCUUUAUAAAAUGUAACCUUAUAAAAUGUAAGGCAUUCAGGCCUGACUUCCUGAGGUGCUGAACAUUGACUUCAGCCUGGAUGAAUGUUCCCUACUUCUGGUGAAACUAUAAGGCCUUAUUAUGCCCUUCUGAAGUGCCUUUGCAACCGGCAUCUCCUGAUCACUGGGGAGCGCAGGGAUGCAGCCCACGUUGGGGACUGCAUCACAAGCAGCAGCCCAUGGUGGUACAAGGUUACAUGGAAUAUAAGAACAGUAAGAAGUGAACGGGGAUGGACUGUUCACCUGCUAUGUGCAAUCUUCACUCAUCAGACCAUGGUGUUCAGCUGCAACAGAGAACAGAUGUAAGAACUUAAAUCAUGUGAAGAAAACACAUUUUCUUUUGCGAGAGUUUGCCAAGAAAGAUGUUACCAGAACACUGCAGUGCAGAUGGUGCAUUAUCAGUUAAUGGGACAAGGAAGAGACAAUAACAAUGGCUCCUAUGGCAGCACUGGGCAUGCCCUAAAGAGAAGGAAGGAAGAGGAUGACCAGAUACAGAAGCUGUGGAAUGAUAGGUAAUCAGAUUCUUCACUAAUGCUUUCUGAGCAGCCACUAAGUGGGACAUAUACUCCAUCACAGAGAAAGAUGCAGAGGAGUAAGAGAAAGCAGGAAGAUGGGUGUGUGAAAAAAGAAAAAGGUAGUCAAGUCCCACAAGAAAAAGAGGAAUGAAGAUAUACUGAAGUUUGUAAAGGAACUAACACAGUGGUCUGCAAAUGGAAGAAAGAAUGGGAGAGAGGAACAGUUAUUUACAACAGCAUCAGGACAAGACCAAUGUAUGAGUAGAGAGUCCUUGUGGAGAAGAACUGAUAGACUUAGUACCAAAAAUAAUUAGAAAACAAAAGGGUGGAUGGCUGGCCAAGAGCAAAGAUGUAACAUGUGAACAUGAAGCUGAACAGAACAGAUUGUCAAGAAAGCUAAAGACACUUCUGAUGCUACUCUGGGAGGCUAUAAAAUACAAGUGUUUCAAGCAUUGUCACAGGCUACAUUAAAGAAAAGGAAGGAACUGAGUGAAAGUAUAGCAUCUCCCCGAGAAGCAAAUAAACAGAUAAGGUUUUCCUUUUAAAUGUCUCUUCACACAUCAAGAACAGCAGUACAUUAUAAAGGAGAAAAAAGAAAGCCUUAAAUUUCUUGAGAAGCUAAAGUUAAUGGAAAGCACCCUGGAACCUCAGCCUGCGACGGAUGUAAACAGCAAGAAGCAACACCAAAAUAGUGACUGCAAAUUGUUAAACCCAGGAGAAACAAGAUACCAAAGGAUAAGGACAAGGAGACUAGGGGAAGUCAUAGAAUUAGGUGUAUUCAAGAGGAUUUGAGUGGUACUGAAUAACAGUAUGAAGCAAAUAAAAAUUAAAAAUGGAAGGGAAAAUAUUACAAGGGGAAAAGUUAAAAUGGUAAAGUUGGGAACUGAAAUAAUUAUGAAAAUCAGGAAGUAAAAACAUAUUCCAAGACUAAAACCAAAUAGCAAGGGGAUGGGAAAGAGACUUGCGGGGAGGCCUGAAAUAUGGCUCUGUACAAGUCCCUCCAGGAAACAACACAUGACAUAUUACAAUUUAGUGCCAUGACUGUCCCUAUGAAGUUCACUUCUCAGGUAUGGAAGUGUUAAACAUUCCUUUACAUCUGAGUGUUAGGAUGACUGUCUACAUUUUAGGAAAGUGGUAAAAAUAUAAAAGCCUUAAGUCAUUUGGGGAUUUUAAGAGAAGAGAAACUGGACUGGCUAAAUAAGGGGGGACUUUAGGAAAUAAAGUUAAUUUUAGGGUGAGAAUAUAAAAAAGGAUACACAGGAACCAAAACAGUCCUUCAGGUAUAUUAAGUAUACUAUUAUCUCCUUUGUAAAUACGUAAUAACUUCAAACUCAUGCAAUUCCUGUGUACUACUCCAAUGCUGGAGUUUUAUUUCUAUAUUUUUCUGAGAAAAAAAAUGUCAAAAGAGGCUUAAAAAAUUCCUAACUGGAAUUGGAAAGAAGCCUCUGAUCAGUCCUUGCAUCACAACAAAUGAAGCUUCAAGAUUCCCUUUGAAAUAUUUCAUGGAAGAUUACACCAAACUAGGAAAGGUAUUAAAAAAAGUGAAGGCUCAGGUGACCUUCAGUGGAAUUCUUCGGGAUGGCAAACACAUGACAAGAUCAUGAAGAUCAACAGGUAGCUGAAGAAUUGUAAUACAAAGAAAGUUUGGGAAUGUUUGAAGAAUGAGCAGUAGUCACAGAAAAAAAGACUCACCUUAACAGCACUGGCCUUCUGGGACUGGGGCAGCAUAAGAGUUUGAACUAAAGAAAUAAGGGGAAGUCAGUUGAGAGAGACACAAUCUCCAUGCCUGAUUUUAGGACAUGGGAAAAGAAAAACUGGGUAAAUCAGGAUACAAUAAUGGAUACAAAAGAAUCAGAGGGUAAAAGGACAUUGUGAGGAAAAUACUAAUAUUGAUUAAAAGAGUAGUUAGUGGGCGAUACAACUAGGCUAAGAGGUAUGAUCAGUAAUAAAUUAACUGAAAUGUUUGCCUGAGUGCCUGGUACAACAAAACAAAGGAACUAGAGCUACCAGUACAGGAUAUGAAACAGGAUAUUACAGUAAUAAGAGGGUAGAGUAGAAAUCAGGACUGAAAAACUGAAAUGGGUUUUAAAGGUAUGUGCUGUUUAGGAAAGAGCGAAAUAAAGGUAACUGUGGUAGGAUACCAUGGAUAAAAUAAACAGGUUCAAAAUUUGUUUGGGGGAAGGAUGGUAACAAAGGUUCAGUUCAGACCAUACUGGGAAUCUAUUAUACACUUCCGGCAUUUGAUUCAGGAAGAGCUAUCUAAAGUUGCUAUACUACUUGUAAUUUUCUAGUACUGAAGACAUUAUAAAAGAGCAGGAUGCUGACAAUAACCAAAAAGUCUACAAGGAAAAAAGACUGAUCAGCAAAGAAAGCUGAUCUGAGGUCGGGAAAUUAGGGUAAAGUGAGACUUGUGAAAAGUUAAAUUGAGUUUAAAAUAAACAGCAGAAGUUCUUCAGCAAUACCAAUAAAAAGAAGAAAGGAAGAUGUGAGGUUGCAGUAUAUCAAGGCUGAAAUAAAAACUAAAGGUAAUCUAGGCAUGUCACCAAAACUAAAUUAAUUCUUAGCCACCAAUUCCAAUGAGGGUAAUGUUGACCACUGGGACAAAGGUGGGAUAGGCAAUGUAAAUUACCACAACUGAUGGAAAAGUAGAUCUCAAAAAUUCACUGUGUUCACAGGGGUCAGGAGUGGGGGGCAGGGGGCAUCAUCCCCAUCCCAGAAUUCUGAAAUUCCCAAAAGAUGAUAUUGCAAGUCCCGCAACAAGAAUUUUAAUAAAACACUCAAGUCAGGGGGUUGCAUUGUAUGACUGCAGAAUACCAAAUAUAGUGCAUAUUUUUUUUUAAGACAGGAGAAUUUACAGUCAUUUACAGGCAUGUUAGGAUGACUUUAAGAGCAUGCACAGUUUUAGAAUAAAUCUUGAAGGAAAGAAUAAUUAAGAAUACAUUAAAAGAAAUGGAAAAUGGGAUAAAAUACUGUAUGUAUUUACCAACUUUAAAUUAUGCUAUCAUUUUUCCAAGGAUGACUUCUUUCUAGAGAAUGAAAAUGGAGUAAUUUAAUCUAUUUCAACUUCAGGAAAGCAUCUGUUCCAGCACCACAAGGGAAAUUUAGUUAAAUUGGAGGUUUAGAUUAUAAAAGAAUUACAAAGUGGGAAAGAAACUGGAUAAAGAAAAGAUUAUAGUAUUUUAUGUUGAAUGUGAUGGAGGAAAGUCCAGUGGCUUUCUCUGUGCAUCUGUCCUAGGACAUAAACUGUUUAAUAAUUUUAUUAAUGACCGACCUCAGCACAAAAAAGCAGGGUAAAGCUAAAGAAAUUUCACUAAUGAUGCAAAGCUGGAAGACUUCAUAAAUGCAAAAGGGGAUUGAAACCUCUUACAGUAAGAACAGAAUGACAUGGAGGAUUAAAAUAAUAGAAAUGGGAUAAAAUGUAAUAGUAAAAAUGAGAAGUUAUGCACUUGUAUAAUCAAUACUAUUGUAUAAGCAUCUUGUUAAGACCUCAUCUGAUAUACAGCAUACAGUUCUAGUCACCCACAUUCAAUAUGUAAGAUUCAGAUUGGAACAGGCACAGAGAGCAGUGACCAGGAUGAUCAGGAGGACAGAAUCUGUUUCACAGCAGAAAACUAGAAGAACAGGCCUAAUUAAUCUUAGGAAAAUGAAAACUGAGGGGGAUUAUGAUUGCUUUGCAUAAAUAUAUUGGGAGGGCGAUAAACAUCAGAGAGGGAACAGACCUACUAAAGCUAAAAAAUAAUGCUGAUGGAAGUGGAUGAUCAAAAUAAAUGGAUAUUAAAUUGGCUAUAAACAAAUGUAAGCUGGAAUUUAGGGUUCUUACUAGCAAAGCACUUCCAUUUGGAGUCAGGGAGUGAGUAUCCCUACAACAAAAUUUCAUAAAUCUGAUGAAAGGGAUUGAAACAUGGUUUCCUGCAAGAUGAAAGCGACUGAAACAUGGUUUCCUGCUCCCAGACCCAGGGUCUCCCUUCCACCUGUACUUUCCUAGAAAUGCCCAACACAAAAAGUUGAAACUUGGGGAUUCUGGUGUGCUCAUCUGUUGCCAUGAAAGUUUUACAUUUCUUCUAUGUUUUUUAAGUAUAUUAGGAAGGUUUCUUUUUUAUAAAGCUUUUGGACCAUCUAAUAAUAUCUGAAAGCUAAUACUGGUAGAUAAUAGAAAUGGGAUGAAAUUUAAUAUGAUUUUAAAAUCAUUAUGGACUGUGCAUGGCAUCCACCUCUAUUCCCCAGCAAUGAAUCUUAAGUUUACAGAAAGUGUUAGUCAAGUAAUAUAAUAAUACAGGUUUUUCCCUUCAAAAUACCAACAGCAUAGUGCUAUGCUUUUUUUUUUUGUUUAACGUUCAGCAUUCACAAUAUUUUUCUAUCAGCACAAUUAUUUUCCCUAUAGUUAAGAGAUUCUUCUUUUUGAAUCCAUGAAUUAGGAGUUAGGAUGCCUCAUUUUUAUUUAUUUAUUUAUUUUACAUAUUACUGUUAACAAUUUUGGUCUUGUGGUACCAAGGUAAGGAAUUCUCAGAACGGUAAAUAAUAUAAACCACAUAAUACACAGGGUACCUCUUGGACAACCUGCACUCCUGUUCAGUUUUACAGACUAAUACUCUGUAGCAAAUAUAACAAUUACACAGAGUAGUGUGAAAAGAGCUACUUUCAGUGCAGCUAAGAAGCAAAAAUCUUCUGCUCUGGUGGUAUAUAAGGACAAAGUCCAAAAUUAAUCCUAGUAUGUUUUGUUAAGCAAAGCAUAAUAUCAGGGAAAAGGAAUCUGUUUGAAGGUUAACAAAGUCCUACUUGUGCAUAAUGCCAAGGUGCUGACAAGAUACGUGCAAAGCAGAUUUUCUUUUAAAUAAAGACUGUAGUAUAGUCUUCAGACAAAUGCCAGUAUUGUUUCCUCAGCUAUUUUUGUUUGAAAUAGGAACUAUUUUCAUAUGCCUCAGCAAGAAACCUGACUGAACUCUAGGAUUUUGCACUACCUGAUCAAGGAGGGGCUGUGGUUUCAUUUCAUUUCCCCUAUUUCAUAUGCUCAAAUUUAGCAAGUAAUUCGCCAUACUUUCCAACAAGAUGCUUCUUCAAAGGGUCAUCUUGGAUGGAGCCUCUUACUUCCCAAACUUAUUUAUCCUCUUCCCUAGAUUUCCAACAAUUUGGUCUGAACCAAAAUGUAGUUCAUACAUAAGUACAUGCAAAGUGAUGCUUUUGUAAAGCAUCCAGCUGCAUUGUGACCUGGAGUCAAUCCAGAAGCCCACACUGUUACUGGUAGCAGUACUAUCUUCAAAGGAUGUAGGGUCAAUGUGGGACAGUGACUACAUUUCCCUCCUAUCUUAACCUACAGAGGUGGCUAUGGUUCAGAAGAAAAGAUACACUGCAGCUGUCUCAAGGCUUUGGCAGCUGUUACUGCAGCAAAAACUCAUUAAGAACUUCAGGAAAAUUCUUAUUAUAACCAUGUGAAACUCUCCCUGUCCUUCAGCUGUCAAGGCAUUUCCCGCCCAAUGAUGAACGAAUGCAGGGCCUUGCCUCAAAGGCACAAGUAUUGCCUAGUUUCCCAUUUCUUUUUGUGUUUUGCCCCUCCCCACCAAAACACUGCUCAUGUAAAUGAUUAUGCAAAUAAUCAUUCACCUUGUCCAUCCAUAAACAAUGUGUUUGUUUUUCCUCCUUUUAAGUACCUGGUAUUGACUUUAGGAAAAAAUCCUUUUCAAUUUUAUUUUCUCUGUUUUGAUUCUCUCUGUUUAUUUUGUUUCAGCAGUGAAAGUUCAGUCCAGCAGUUCCUCAUAUCUAUAUUUCUCAGACCUGCUGCUGGCUCCAUCUAUAGCUGUUACUAUAUAGUACAGUAGAUUAGUCUAAUUGUCAAGGAUACUUACCUUCAUUCAGUACUUCUACCACUUAAGUCGCUUCAGAUGCAUCAUUUUAGUUCAACAGAACAACAUAUUUAUGUCAGUCAUAUCCCUAACACAUCUGUGCAUUGGUCUAGCCCAUGGGUAGGCAACCCCCAGCACAGAUGCCAGAGCAUGGCACACAGAGGCAUUCUGCUUGGCAUAUGUGCCUUGGGGCGCACAGUUGGAAAUGGGCCAGGGUUGCACUGCCACAACAAGGAUCAGGCCCCUUGCAGCUUCCCUGCUAUCUGCUCCUGGCAUGCUAACAUCUUGCAAGUCAAGGUUGUUGAUGUUUUUGGCACUCUGCCCAAAAAUGUUGCCAACCCCUGGUCUAACCUUCCCAGAUGACAACACUGUUACAUACAUUAUCAUUUCUGUAAGGCAAUGGUUCUUGACCUUUUUAGACUGAAGGCCUCCCCUACCAUAAUUUUUCUGAAUUUAGCAGAAUCUCAUUUCAAACACUAUUUGAAUUCAUUUUUUGGCAAUGGAAAUAUAAAGCAAUUCUCCUCUUGCAAACAAUUCAAAAAAGCACAACAGCUCAAAAUGUUUUUUGCCUCUGUGGAUUAUUAUUUGAGAUCUCUGGGUUUAUCUUGUAAAUCAUGUUGCACACCUAACCAUGCUAAAACUGCAACACCCUGAAUCCCCCUUAAAAAUAUCUCAUGGAACCGCAGGCAGUCAAAAAAAAGAUUAAAAUAAUGGAAUGAGAAAAUACAGCUGUAAUUUAAGUGAUAUUUAUAUAACUUUUAAUUCCUUCAAACUUUCAUUUUUUAGUGGAAGCCAUUGAUUAUAUUCUCUAAUCCAAUGUUUCUCAAUCAGGGUGCCGCAGCCCAGAGAUCCUUUGAAGGGUGCCUUAUGGCGUGAGGAGGUAAGUUUAAACUCAUGUUCUUCCCUGCCUGGCAUUCCCUUAACUUCCACUGCCUGGCUCCUCUGCACUAAAAUAUAUUUGCUUUUGAAAUGGGGUACCACUAAAUUCACACAAGAUGUGGAAGUAUGCCUUGAGUCUAAAAAGGUUGAAAACCACUGCCUGAAUCACUCAACAUUGUCAAGGCAUUUUUAUGUGACAGGCUUCACAGUAUUUAGUUUAUCAAAGACAAGGGGCUAAAAAAGGCUUGGUUCUAACCCCAGCUAAACUAAUUUAUGAUCUUUUGUAGCAUCUCACUUGAUUAAUCUGUGCUUCAGCCAACCCAAAGGAAACAGAUGAUAUUAAAGUAAAAUUGAAAAUUGAAAAUGAGACAUGGACUACUAAUACAGGCAUUACUAUUAAUAAUACAUCUGACUAGUUUCUCUAAUACAAAAAUCUCUAACAAGUAUGUGUUUUCAUAAUAAUUCAUCAGAUUGCAAAACCAGAAAAUUAAGCAAUGUUUUAGCCACUUGAGUACAUUAUAUCUUCCCCUUACAUCAACAUGUUAGGCAACGUAGCUGACAUGGCCUUGCACAUUUGUAUAGGAAUGGCACAUUUUUCACAAAUAUAUCAGUAUUUUUACACUCCAUCUUUGCUUUGGCAUCAUAGAAUUUAUCAUCAACCAACUGCACAAACUUAGCAUUGCAGCUGGACUUGGAAAUCAUUAAAAAUGUUAUCAAUCCAAGCGUAAACAAUUCACUUAGUACUGGAUAAGUACCCAAAAGAUACACUUUCACUGCUGUUGUACAUGCCUAAAUUUUAUUCUGCUUGAGCACAAAAGCAUUAAAUUAACCCCAUUCAUGGUUUUGUAAAAAUAAAAAUAAGAUAAAUAACUUCCUGUAUUUUAAUUUAUUCAGAAAUAGAGCUUGCACUUACCUGCCUUCUGACACUGUACGAUUUUCUCAUAUAAGCUAUCU